UCGAUGACGGCGAAAUGCAAAAACUCUCGUGGGUGCAUGUUAAAGAACUCUAGGUGGUCAAAAUUAAUUUGGACCUUCGUACAAUGCAUACUUCAUAAUCAGAUUGUGGUUUUGGCAUGUAAAACCCCAGAAUUAAGUUUUUCACCUGAAGUGCAAAGAGAAAAGCGGAUGAGAGGACAGACAUGAACAGAACUUGUCCUUGUCCAUCCUGUCGUACCUGUUGUGCAGUAACUGCAUAAGCGAGAAACCAGUAGAUAGGAAAAGGUAUACAAGCUCAAGAUAAAUGAAGUUCAGUAAGACAAUUGAGUCAGUACAUUUAUUGCACUAUGAACUAAAGGAUUAGCAUCUGUAGUGAUAAACACACCUGUGGAUUUGCUUAUAAAACUUCUGCGAUUAUUUUUUUGGCUUUCUCACUUGGCAUAAACAAUAAUGGGCAAUAGAUUGGAGACAGUAUGAGUGAAGAUAUGAAAUUCUUAUCGGGCAAUCUGUCGGACCUCUUUGUAACUUGAAAAUGCCUUUGUUAUAUCUAACAUUUGUUAUGAUCAUUAAGUCUAGAAAUCCAUGUUUCUUAUAACAAUGUUUCACUGUAUUCUGCUCUAAUAGUGAACUAUAACUGGCACUGCUCAAGUAAAUAAGGCCACAUUUUCAAAUACCUUCUGCAUUAUAUUCCGUAGAAACUGCUUGGCUAAAAAAUAAAGAUAUUCAGUACAUCCCUUUAAGAAUCAAGUUUUAAGACCAAGUUCAGGAAACUAUUUCUAUAGUUUCGUGUUCUCCAUAAUUUACAUAAUCAAUUCCUCAUUAAAACUAGGAGCAGAUUAAGUGAUUCACCAUAGCACAUCACAACUACAGUGGUGACCUUACAGUAACAACAUGCUACCGGCGGUAAGGCACAAAACCACAAAAGUUGAGGAACAUUGAAGGGACACUACAUAGUGAAAUACUAAAUCAGUUUAGCAUGAUAAAAUAUUUCAAAACUAAACAUUGUUUUCAAUUUUGCAGUAGUACGAGAAUUAUUAAAAGAGCAAAUGAAAGCUGCAGUCCCCCUUAAUUUUUUUUUUGCUGCAACAUCAGUGCAGCGCGACGUUACGGAUUUCAAAAGUGCUUUUUUGUAUUAGGGCCAUUGUGGAGCGGUAAAUUUCUCAAGUUUGCUAUACACUGCACUUCUAGGAUGGAAUGUAGUACGACUUCACUGAUGAGCAGUUAUCUAGGCUCGAGCAGCCAGCAUCAAAACCUACAAAAUUUCUUCUCUAUGCCUACAGUAUGAUGUCACGGCAAGCUGGGGCAGAAACUCCCCCAAGCUGGGGUCGCUAGCAGUUUUUUGUUUCUGCGUCUUUUCUAUCUUAACAAGCUUCUUUUUACAGUAAGAGGGGCUCUCUUGUUAUUUAGGUAGGUAAUUUACUAGUGCAUCUGAAAUAAUUUUUCUCUUUAGUGUCCACACUGCAAGGAAGAACUGCUUCUUAUACAGGUUUGAUAUUCUGCACAUUCCAAUUUUGCUUUAUGAACCAUACAGUGGUGGAACAGCCAUUUCACCUUUCAGCACAGGGCCUGGUGCAGCAGCAAGCACUUUUGGCGCAGGAACCAAGGCACGUGUGCUCACCAUACACCAUGCAAAUUUUAGCUGAUACAGUCAAUAUGUUGUGGAGAUGGGUUUGCGAGAGGCUUUCCCUGCAAGCAUGGGCAGGAAAGGACGUGAUGCACCUCAGCACCAUGAUGCAUAGAGGGCGUUACAGCCAGGUUUGUCGAUACAAUGCAGAGAAGGCACCACAGGCAGAUUGUCAACAAACAUGUUUUUAGUAACCCAGGAUGACACAGUGCGACAGACAAGGCUUGUGGACGAAGGCUCACUGCAAGACCAAUAGAGUAUGUGCGCCUGCACUGAACAUGACAUCAUACAAUAUACUCAUGUCAUGCCAUGCACAUUAGAGAGUUUUCGAAUAGGAACCGGAAAAAAAAAAGCAUCAGCGCCACUGCGCAUGCACAUGACGCAAAUGGGUUUUGCGCUUGUGUUGGCGAUGCUAUUUCACCAAAAUAGUGCAGCGACCAAAGCUUGAUGCAAAUGUUUUGCGUCAACGAACAUGGCACCACCUACAGAAGUGCUGGCUCUCGCGGUGUAACACAUUUAGCUUUAUUCGCUAAUGCCAUUCUUAACUAUUGCAAAGCCCCACUAUUACCCAUAAACAUCGAAAAAGCUUUCUUUUAAUCAUAAAAUGUGACCUCCUCAUUUGGCAAACUCCAUGGUACCACGUGGGCGGGUUUGAUGAACACUGAAAAAAAGUGCCAGCAAGAUGGUACAGUGGCACUACAUUAGUACGGCCAUUAGAGAAAAAUUCGCGAAUGACGAACCGGACAACUCCAACAGCCCAUAUGGGCCUCUGCUUCCUUCUAUGAUGAUGAUGAUAGCAUGCUGUUGGUUUUGAUUUCAGUUUUGCUAGCUGUGAAACGUACAUAGAAGGAAGGUCUCGCUCUUAUACAUGGUAUGGUGCAGGAUCGGCUCAAUUUUCCGCUAACACGCCGUUUUAGCGGAGGAUGGUGUAAAAGCCCGCUCUUGGCGCAGUUUGCUGCAGCUUUUUUACCAUUGCAAUAUCAGCAAUGUGAACAUAUUAUGUUAUUUAUUCCCCCACUGAUAUGUACUCGCAGGACAAGGCCUAUAGGGAACUAACGCUGAGGCACUACAGCAGCUCAAUGGAGUGUGCAGCUGAAAUGUGUCGACAUUAUCCGAUAGGGAGGCCAUGAAAAUGGUACAUUUUGGAUGAUAACAGACAAUAUCGACGACAGCGACAUGCCCAUGCCAACAUUUCCUUUAGCUCUGGUGCCUAGCCAAGCUCUGGCCAUACCGAUGCAGGUUGGAGAAGCGCAUGUGCUCAUAAACUCUAGCACACCGGUUCCUAGUCAAUUCAGAAUCUGUAGAUAUGAACGUCAAGAAAAGUGGAGCCGUGUCAUGCAGCAAAACAUUCCUCACGAAUUGAAUUACAUCAUCGAGUCAUUGUGGUACCAUGACGAAGAUUGUGAACCAAAACAUGAUGGUCAAGCUGCCAGCAGCAUUUGACACAUCUUGUACAGUGUUGGAUACGGUCCCUUUUCCUGGCAUCACUCGAUUCGCCGACCACAUCCAAUCGUCGUUGCAUUCCAAUAAAGAUGCGUAGGAGCGCAUCUAACAUGUUCCCGGACCUGCCAGACAAGUUGGCGACCCCCACCUCAGUUGCCGCACGUCAAGCUAUUGUCUCCACCCCUGCUUGACUCUUCCCGAAAGUGCAACGGGAGCCUGGCACGGUUCCAGGUAGUUGAUCUUGGUCCCAACAAAGCUGUUUUGUAGCACUGAAAGUUCGUUCGAAAACAACCCGUCUCCUCCAGCUGAGCGCUUUCAGACGGGGAGGCAACACAGAGGCAACGCCUAUUGUAAGUCACCCGUGAGAAAGUCGCAGUGGAGCCCUUGGAGUGACCCCAUCUGCCAAAUGUGACUGCACUUGCACGGGCGCCUACCAUUCGAGGAAAAUGAUGACACCUGAGCGGGCUCGACAACUGGCCGAAAAUGAUGUGACCCCGAGAGACCAAAGGGGUUAAAAGCGAGAGACAGGCAGAAGAGACAUGCGUUCUUUCAUUUCUUUCGUGCUUCUUGCCACUGGCCGCAGCGUCCGAUUUGCUGCCAGCCAUCUAUGACUUUACGACUGUUAAUUACUUUGUGCUAUUACUGUAAAUAAUGUAAAUAAACCUUCGGUUUCAUCUCAAAAUCCUCCUCAACGUCGGCCAACUCCUGCACUCCACGGCAAGAUCCCAUAACAGAUAUCCCCAAGGACAAGUUAGUGACUUGACUUGCUGGGAGGAAGUGGUGCCACCAAGUUUGUGCAUUAUUGCACCAUUCUGCAGUUUCAUUCUGUAGUCGCACAUCAUUCUGUGUGUGUGGAAUGUAAUUGGUAUAAAAGGGGAAACCUACCCCCAAAAUAUUUCAGGUGAAAACUUUUUUUUUUACAUUUGAGGGCCAUUAGGAUUUUCUUAAAUGGUGCCAAAGCAGUUGCAAGAAAUUUUCCUAAAUUUGAGUGUUUCAUUAAGAGUCAUAAGACUUAUAUUAUAGUUAGUAGACAUGUUUCUUUAUUAGACAACAGUUUGGCACUACUUGUUCAUAUUUAUUUGUCUAAUGUGCUCCUGAAUUUGACAAAUAUAUAGUGUCUUCUAAAAGUUAUUUGCAAAAUAUGGCCAAAUAAGAAAGCUCAAAGAUGGUCUUAUACAAAUUUCUACAAAACAUUAUGUGCAAAAAUUUGGGCCUCAACUGUGCAUAACAGCUCCGCAAAACCAUGCUGAGCUUAGAAAAUACAAUAUUUUGGCCUAUGUUUACACGUCAAUAGACCAGUGUAGCUGUCCUAGUAAAAAUCCAGCAAAUAGUGGCCAUCAUAGAGAAGGACAUCAACAAUUUCUACAGAAAGUUUAAACAAAUGAUUUUUGUUUUGAGGAAGAAACAUAUUUUUGAAGUUGACACCCGAAAUGGCGAAAUUUGGUUGCAAGAUGGGAUUCAUUACACUAGCUUAUGGCCGAAACUGGAAAGCGAAUUGAGGCAUGUAGUAGGUGAAAUGUCAGAGCUGGAUUUACAGCAUUCAAAGUAAGGGCCACAAUAUGCGGUUGGGCGUCACAUGAAUGUGGCUUGGCUUAAGAGUUCUCAUUUUCAUUAAAAUCAUUUUAUACAGGGCGCUUCAGAAAAUGUCGAAAUUUCUUAAACAUUGCGAAGCAAUAAGUAAGCAUUUUCCCCUUGGCAUUGUUUUUAUCACAGAGGCAUACAUUCUAAAAUCAUUUGUAGAAAUGUUAUGCGUUCUUUUUUCCAGAGAUAACUUGAAAGUUAAAUCUUUGUGUGCUAGAUGUCUUUCCUAAGUGUAACAAAUGCAAUUUCUGUCUAAGUACACAUUAACAGGCUUUAAUACAAUUGCUAUGUAUUGGUAACAUGUCGACCACUUUACAAAUUUUCAAAUCUCACAUUUCAAACAAUAACAGAGACAUGAGAAUAAGUGACUUUAAUCAGAUAUUUAGUGUUCCUCGAGCAACAUAGCCUCUUCAUAACUGUAAUUGUCCCUUGAAGACACCUCGUAAUCAAUGUCAAAGUCUAGUGUAUCAGAGUUCAUGAGAAGUUUUUGAAUUGCUGAAUGGUUCAAAAAAUAUGCAGGCUUUUCCCACUAGUUCACUUGUCAAAAAAUGAUCAAAAUGCGAGUAACACAGACAGUUGGAUGGAUGGAUGCUACAAGCAUCCCUUUUGAAAUAAGGUGGUGGGUUGCACCAUCAAGCUCUUGUUUUUAUUUUGCCUAAUGUCUUAUAUAUAUUUUUCAGAAAACACACAAACACAAAGAAUUCCCAGCAUCAAACUUUUUGAACCAUUGCAGGGAACUCUCUUUUUGUAUCCCUCCGUUGUUUGUGGUCUCCCUACUUUUCUGCCACCACACCUCCAGUCGCCUCUUACUAAUAUCCCUCUUGAGGACAUAUUUACUUUUCCUCUGCUAUCCCUGAACCCAAGGUUUCAAGGAGGCCAGAGGAGCGUUAACCAGAAGCUGGGUAGAUGUCUUCACAUUCUAACAAAACAUGUUCCAUCAUUUCCCUAGCUUUACUGCAGCAAGCACAUGCAUUUUCGUUCUUCGUGUACCUCGCUUUAUAAAUACACGUUCUAAGGCAUCAUGAUCUCUCCUUGAAAAGUAAGGUGCUGCCUUUUGAGUUAUAAAUUAUUUUAUUGCAAUAGCAAUUAUAUGGACACUCGAAGCACAUUUCUGCCAUCGGUGUCACCAUGACGUUCCGUAUAAACUGCACAAGAGCAAUAACCGUCGCUGCGCGCCCUAUGCUGCAUGUGCAAGUGAACGCGUGGGAGCGGAGCCAACAAUCGCUGCUCAAUCUCGCCUGCCCAAGAGAGACGAAAGCCGGGAGGAAGCGCUCAGUCUUCCAUUGUUGCCGAGGCACCCAGCAUUGCAGGGCACUGGGGGGGAAGCGUUCUACUCUGGCUGCGCAUGUGGCAGCUGCGCGCAGUCGUGUGGCCAUAUCUUGAGAGCGAGCUGCAUUGGGGCAGAGUCUAGGUGCGUCGGUGGUUCGUAGCUUUGUGCGUGCUGUUUGUUCUCAGUGCUCGCUUUG